rnacentral:rRNA from 1 species
CCCUUAGAUGUCCGGGGCCGCACGCGCGCUACACUGAAGGAAUCAGCGUGGCUUUCUCCCUGACCCGAAAAGGUUGGGAAACCCGUUGAAUCUCCUUCGUGAUAGGGAUUGGGGCUUGAAAUUGUUCCCCAUGAACGAGGAAUUCCCAGUAAGCGCGAGUCAUAAGCUCGCGUUGAUUACGUCCCUGCCCUUUGUACACACCGCCCGUCGCUACUACCGAUUGAACGGUUUAGUGAGGGCCUCGGAUUGGUCUCGGCCCGCUCUUUACCGGGCGGCGCCGUUGGUCGAGAAGACGCUCGAACUUGAUCGUUUAGAGGAAGUAAAAGUCGUAACA